GAUGAACGCUAGCGGCAGGCUUAACACAUGCAAGUCGAGGGGUAUUGGUUUUCGGACCAAGAGACCGGCGCACGGGUGCGUAACGCGUAUGCAAUCUACCUUUUGCAGAGGGAUAGCCCCAGAGAAAUUUGGAUUAAUACCUCAUAGUAUAGUACUUUGGCAUCAAGGAACUAUUAAAGUCACAACGGCAAAAGAUGAGCAUGCGUCCCAUUAGCUAGUUGGUAAGGUAACGGCUUACCAAGGCUACGAUGGGUAGGGGUCCUGAGAGGGAGAUCCCCCACACUGGUACUGAGACACGGACCAGACUCCUACGGGAGGCAGCAGUGAGGAAUAUUGGACAAUGGGCGCAAGCCUGAUCCAGCCAUGCCGCGUGCAGGAUGACGGUCCUAUGGAUUGUAAACUGCUUUUAUACAGGAAGAAACACUCCGACGUGUCGGAGCUUGACGGUACUGUAAGAAUAAGGAUCGGCUAACUCCGUGCCAGCAGCCG
rnacentral:rRNA from 1 species